rnacentral:rRNA from 1 species
GACGAACCGUGCGAACGUUGUUCGGAAUCACUGGGCUUAAAGGGCGCGUAGGCGGCUUCGAAAGUCGGGGGUGAAAUCUUUCGGCUCAACCGGAAAAGUGCCCCCGAUACUGCGGAGCUCGAGGGGGAUAGGGGCGGACGGGAACUUCCGGUGGGAGCGGUGAAAUGCGUUGAUAUCGGAAGGAACGCCGGUGGCGAAAGGCGGUCCGACUGGGUCCCUGACUGACG